AUUUUCUUUUAUUUCUAUUCUUUCCUUCUUUUUACACACACCCUCGUUCCUUCACACACACACACACACACACACACACACACACACACAGUAUUUUGGAAAUAUAACACCUCGAUGAAAUAUGACACACCUACGCACACCCAGGAUAUAACAUGUAGACACAUUGUGAUAAAGAUUUUAUGCCAUGCAGAUACAGUUCCAUUGAGAAAUUCUCAGCAACUGAGAAGUGACGUGAUCCAAGUCACCACAAUUUUGAAGUCAGGUCCCCCAAGUACCUCAUCAAGUCAUUUCCCGUUUUCGGUGACACUCACCUGUCCCCUGUCCUAUAUGCGAACGGAAGAGCAAACACAAAUGCCCCAUUAUAGGCUACAGUAUUUGGAAAAGGCUCCAGAGUCCCUUAGUGACGACAACCCUAAAUUCCUUCAGGGCAGGACAGAACUUGAGGCAUCCACCGUGUCAAGUACAGAGGGUGAAUGAACGCUCGACUCACAGAACGAUCCCAGACGGUGUUGCUCGUGACAAAAUCUGCUGAUGAUUGGAGGUCUAUGGAAAAGUGAGAUGUGAAGCGAACUGGCUGUAUUCCUCAUGGAAGCAGAGGAAAGGCUGACAGGCAUGGAAGAUGAUGGAAGAAAAAGGAGGGGUUUACCAAUAAAUAAGGAUACAAAUAUGGGAAAACGUUACCUUGUAUCCUGCACACAAGAUCAACGUCGAACCAACGUCUGUUAGACUGCUGUACACCUGUAAAUGGAUAUUAAGCAAGUUGAUUACUUUGUAGGAACAACAUAACAUCGUCAGGUAUUUGCAAUAUCUGUCUGUAAACUACCUGGGUUUAAUAAAUGAGCCGGACUUGCUUACGUGUCACGUGCACACGUGAGACUCAUGAGCUGCGAGACGUAAGGAAAUAUGACAAUGAUGUAGUACGUAUUUGAGCUUAAAAAAUGUUUACUUGCACAUAAAACCAUGUAUAGAUACAUUUGUUGUAAUUAUUUACCUUAAUUAGUGAAAUUGUGUAGACGAGAUGCACAUGAACGCUUGUGUUGAGUCGUGUUGCUUUAGUUCUCAAAGACAUGAAGGCAAACACAUACUGAUUUAAUCUUAUUUGUUCUAAUUAAAUCAUAGCCUAUAUGUAGCUUCAAAUGGAUUUGUUGUGACUGUGAUAAUAAGAACUUGUGCGUAACGCGAGCGUCUGCAGACUUGUGUGAAAAUUACAGGCGCGAGUUUUAGCUUGUGGUGCUUUAUAAUUGUUAGGGUUACAUAUUCGUGAGAUCUUAAUAGCUUGUUUAACAUGUUGAAUGGAGCUGCAGACGGAGAGUUGGAGCUGUCAGGCGUUUUCUGUGCACGCUCUGCUGCUGCUGACGUAUCACUCCCACGGCCCAAGUGAGUUUAGGACUCAAAUAAUGCUGUGUUCUAUUAGUUCUUUAGCUAAAUAUGUUUAUUAUAUCGUAUAUGUGUAAUAAGGUUUCAUAACUAGUGUUUAGGGAGCAUUUUGAACACAGUAAAUGUGAAAUAUGACUUGUUGGGACUGGGAGUUAUCAAAGGGUCAAAUGGGUUGGGUCCUGCGGGGGGGCGGGGGGGGGGGGUAUGAUGUCGAAAUUAUAUGUUUUAAAGUUUGUCUAAGCAAAAGAUAAUUAAGUAAAAUAUCUAUAUUUUGCAUCAGUUAUUAUUUUGUAGUAUAUAAAUUACAAAAAAAUAAAUAUAAUAACUGAUAAUGCACUAUGUAGCCUAGCUAUCGGAUUGCUUGUGCCUUACGUAACUUUUAUUUUUAUUGCUUCAUAAUUAUAGUAUUUUCUGCUUUGCUGUUACUGUAUAUCAUACAACCCAAAACGUGCUUAACAGUUUGAGCUGAACUGAGUAAUUUGAGUAAAGUGUGGUUGCUGCAGUGUGCACGACGUGAGAGCGUAACGUGCGAGUUCUGCAUUUCUGAGUAUUUGAAUGACAUUUCUGUAUAGUGCACAGAGAAAAAUAUGCUGCAUUAACUAUUCGACCCUGACUAAUUGUUUAGCUAUUUCAUUACAUGAAACAAGAUGUGCAUGUGGUGUGAGAAAUAUGUGAUUUGAUUAUGUUGCAAAAUCUAAAAGCUGGAAGUUUGUCGUUCAGGUGACAAAGAAAAAAAAAAUGACUCACGUAUUUUGUAAUCAAACUGCUGGCUUUCUGUAUUCUCUAUUACAUGUCAGAGAAAAUAAAAUGUUUGGAGUUAUUUUAGAGUCUGCUUGCUUAUUUGUAUGUUUUUAAGUGUGGGGGGAUCUGGAAAAUGAACACUAUGGCUACUAUAUGUGACGUGCUGAAAACACUUGUGUGUGUUUAGAGCCUGUAGGAUAUAUAAAAUAAAAAAGUCAAAUGUAGCGCGAGGGAGGCAAUGCAUAGAAAGAAAGGUUUCCACAGCCAGAGUAGCCUAUCUUACAAUUAAAAUUACAGACAUUAAAAUGUUUUUCUUGACGACGCCAAUGCUUUUUUCUACUAAACAGCAUGUGGUUUACAUGUUACGUGUGUUACUUGAAUUAUUCACGCAUCGGUGGG
ensembl:lncRNA